rnacentral:rRNA from 1 species
GUGCAGCAGGCGAGAAUCCUCCGCAAUGCGGGAAACCGUGACGGGGUCACCCCGAGUGCCACCCGAUGAGGGUGGCUUUUCCCCGGUCUAAAAGGCCGGGGGCAAUAAGCGGGGGGCAAGUCUGGUGUCAGCCGCCGCGGUAAUACCAGCCCCGCGAGUGGUCGGGACGUUUAUUGGGCCUAAAGCGUCCGUAGCCGGCUCGGUAAGUCCCUCCUUAAAUCCACGGGCUCAACCCGUGGGCUGGGAGGGAUACUGCCGGGCUAGGGGGCGGGAGAGGCCGAGGGUACUCCCGGGGGUAGGGGCGAAAUCCGUUAAUCCCGGGAGGACCACCAGUGGCGAAGGCGCUCGGCUGGAACGCGCCCGACGGUGAGGGACGAAAGCUGGGGGAGCAAA